AACGAACGCUGGCGGCAUGCCUAACACAUGCAGUCGAACGAGACCCUCGGGUCUAGGUGCCCACGGGUUCCUAAACCCGUGGAACCUUCCCUUAGGUUCGGGAUAACUCCCCCAAAGGGGUGCUAAUACCCGGUAAUGUCUUCCGACCAAAGAUUUAUCGCCUUUGGAUGGGCCCGCGUUGGAUUAGCUAGUUGGUAGGGUAAAAGCCUACCAAGGCGACGAUCCAUAGCUGGUCUGAGAGGAUGAUCAGCCACACUGGGACUGAGACACGGCCCAGACUCCUACGGGAGGCAGCAGUGGGGAAUAUUGGACAAUGGGCGAAAGCCUGAUCCAGCAAUGCCGCGUGAGUGAUGAAGGCCUUAGGGUUGCAAAGCUCUUUUACCCGGGAUGAUAAUGACAGUACCGGGAGAAUAAGCUCCGGCUAACUCCGUG
rnacentral:rRNA from 1 species